rnacentral:rRNA from 1 species
CCUACGGGUGGCAGCAGUGAGGAAUAUUGGUCAAUGGACGAGAGUCUGAACCAGCCAAGUAGCGUGAAGGAUGACUGCCCUAUGGGUUGUAAACUUCUUUUGUCAGGGAGCAAUUGGGUCAACGCGUGGGCUUAGCGAGAGUAACUGCAGAAAAAGCAUCGGCUAACUCCGUGCCAGCAGCCGCGGUAAUACGGAGGAUUCGAGCGUUAUCCGGAUUUAUUGGGGUUAAAGGGUGCGUCGGCGGAAUAUAAAGUCAGCGGUAAACAUUGGGGGGUCAACCCCGUCGUGCCGUUGAAACUGAUGGUCUUGAGUGGGCGAGAAUUAUGCGGAAUGCGUGGUGUAGCGGUGAAAUGCAUAGAUAUCACGCAGAACUCCGAGUGCGAAGGCAGCAUACCGGCGCCCAACUGACGCUGAAGCACGAAAGCGUGGGUAUCGAACAGGAUUAGAUACCCCGAGUAGUC